rnacentral:rRNA from 1 species
AAAUGUGGCCAUACCACCCUGAACGUGCCCUAUCUUGUCAGAUCUUGGAAGCUAAGCAGGGUUGUGACUGUUUAGUACUUGGAUGGGAGACUGCUUGGGACUGCCAGGUGCCAUAGGCU